rnacentral:lncRNA from 1 species
UAGCUAAUCUACAUCAAUCGAAGAUGAUGGCCACCAGUCCACCACCAUUUCCCCCUCACUCUAUCCGGCAAAAAUCAGGCAACACCAGCACCGACCUUCUUCUUCAAUACUCCGGCAAAAAUCCGGCAACUUCAGCCGUUCGACCAUCCUUCUUUUUUAGUACUCCGGCAAAAUCAGCAAACCAAAGCAUAAUCAGCAAACCCAAAAAUCCCAUCUUCAAAGCAAAAUCAGCAGAGCAAAGCAGCAAACCCAAAAAUCAACAUGUUCCAGGAUAUUAAAUUUCCUCUAGCAAACAAAAUCAACAAAACACACACAUAGAUCUCCUUCUUCCUCCCCUGCUCUCCCUUCCCUUCACAGAGAUCGACCUUCUUCUUCAAAACUCCGGCAAAAAUCCGGUAACACCAGCCUCCCGCCGCU